rnacentral:rRNA from 1 species
AUUCCAGCUCCAAUAGCGUAUAUUAAAGUUGUUGCAGUUAAAAAGCUCGUAGUUGAAUUUCUGGUGGGAGUGUACAGUCCGACACUGAGUGUUGGUUCUUGUGUGUCUCCGGCCAUCCUUGGAGUGAAUCUGUCUGGCAUUUAGUUGUUGGGCAGAGUAUCUCCAUCGUUUACUGUGAGGAAAGGAAAGUGUUCAAAGCAGGCUUACGCCGUUGAAUCUUUUAGCAUGGAAUAAUAAGAUAGGAUCUUGAUACUAUUUUGUUGGUUUUCGGAAAUCGACUUAAUGAUUAAUAGGGAUAGUCGGGGGCAUUCGUAUACAAACGACAGAGGUGAAAUUCUUGGACCGUUUGAAGACGAACUAAGGCGAAAGCAUUUGCCAAGAAUGUUUUCAUCA